rnacentral:rRNA from 1 species
UACGGAGGGAGCUAGCGUUGUUCGGAAUUACUGGGCGUAAAGCGCACGUAGGCGGCUUUGCAAGUUAGAGGUGAAAGCCCGGGGCUCAACUCCGGAAUUGCCUUUAAAACUGCAUCGCUAGAGUUGUGGAGAGGUAAGUGGAAUUCCGAGUGUAGAGGUGAAAUUCGUAGAAAUUCGGAAGAACACCAGUGGCGAAGGCGACUUACUGGACACAUACUGACGCUGAGGUGCGAAAGCGUGGGGAGCAAACAGG